rnacentral:lncRNA from 1 species
CACAACACACAUUCUAACAAGCCCCACAAGAGAUUUGCAUGUGCAUUUAAUUUGAGAAACUCUGGACUGGUUCACUAGAUGCUUAUAAACAUUCAAAGUGUAUCAAUGACCCAGUCCAUGUGUACCUUAUUUCUAAGCCAAACAAUAUGCUACUUGGUGAUGCAGGCACAGCACAAAAGUGGUUUUCUUGAAAUACUUCUUUUCAACUGGGGAAGUUGAGCAAAGACGAAAAACCACUGUACUUUUGGGGAGGGGGUUAGGGAAGAUAUAAUCUAGGAGAGUAAUUCUUGGGUGGCAGAAAGUUAUAAACAAUUUACUUAGAAGCAGGAAAAGAUAAAGAUUAACAUAAAAUAUUUCCUGUGAAAUCAUGAAGGAUUCACUGUGUAUUUAGAAGAAAACCAGUCAUUAUGUAUAAAAAGCAAAUCUUAUCCUCUAUAGGAAACUAAAUAGAAUGUGGUAGCUAGAUAUGAAGUAAGGGAGACAGAGCUUUCAAUUAUAUCAAUAUAUACCAAGCAAUAAAGGGAUAAUAGGAAAAACUGUAGACACAGGUCUUUCAUAUUUCAGGCUUAAUUAAAGUGUGUAGAAGAAGCAAUUUUAUGAUUUAUAGUGUGUGAUGUAUAAAUGCAAUCCUGGAUAGUGUCAUCACAUUGAAAAUUCUUCUAAUUUCAAGGAUAAGAAGACUCUUCAGUCUGCAAAGUGCUUAAAUUGAAAACACAAGAAUUUGGAUUUGCUCCUCAGAAUACACAUUUAAAAAUAGGUGGGGGAGCAACACAGUGGUGUGCACUUGUAAAAGCAGCAGUUGGAGAACAGAGGCGGGUGGUUCCCUUGAGUUCACUGGUGAGCUAGCUUUAGCUACUUGGUGAGUUCCUGAUCAAUGAGAGACUAGGUUUCAUAGAACAAAGUAGAUGUAUUCUGAUCAAUAUCUGAAGUUGUCCUCUGGCUUCCAUAUGUACCCAGACACACAUGCAUACACAGAGACAGUCAGUCAGUCAGGCAGGCAGGCAGGCAGACAGACAGACAGACAGACAGACAGACACACAGAGACACAGAGACACAACACACAUACACUCGAAUACUCUUUUUUUUAAGAGAUGAACAGUGUACAGUGUUUUAGUUAGUCUGUAAGAUGUGCUUAUCUAGAAUCAAGUAAGUUCCCAUUCCAAUAUCUUCCAUUGUCAAGCACUAAGCAAGAGGUAGGUCAGGCCGCUGUGGGUUCCAUUUUAGUACCAGAACACAUCUGAACACCAGUUUGUGCUUGAACCAAGAGUCUACUUAGACACAAAAAUCUAUAAAACCUUAUCCCAGUUGACCUCAUCUCAAGUAUUGAAUUCCUACAUUUAAGGACUAUUUUGCAUUAAAUUUAUAAGUAAAAAAAAAAAAUGUGUUAUAGCUGGAGAUGGCACAAAGACUUG